rnacentral:rRNA from 1 species
UUUCCGGUUGAUCCCGCCGGACCUGACUGCUAUCGGAUUGAUACUAAGCCAUGCGAGUCAUUGUAGCAAUACAAGGCAGACGGCUCAGUAACGCGUAGUCAACCUAACCUAUGGACGGGAAUAACCUCGGGAAACUGAGAAUAAUGCCCGAUAGAACACUAUAUCUGGAAUGGUUUGUGUUCCAAAUGAUUUAUCGCCGUAGGAUGGGACUGCGGCCUAUCAGUUUGUUGGUGAGGUAAUGGCCCACCAAGACUAUUACAGGUACGGGCUCUGAGAGGAGUAGCCCGGAGAUGGGUACUGAGACACGGACCCAGGCCCUAUGGGGCGCAGCAGGCGAGAAAACUUUGCAAUGUGCGAAAGCACGACAAGGUUAAUCCGAGUGGUUUCUGCUAAGGAACCUUUUGUCGGUCCUAGAAACACCGAUGAAUAAGGGGUGGGCAAGUUCUGGUGUCAGCCGCCGCGGUAAAACCAGCACCUCAAGUGGUCAGGAUGAUUAUUGGGCCUAAAGCAUCCGUAGCCUGCUUUGUUAGUUUUCGGUUAAAUCUAUACGCUCAACGUAUAGGCUGCCGGGAAUACUGCAAAGCUAGGGAGUGGGAGAGGUAGACGGUACUCGGUAGGAAGGGGUAAAAUCCUUUGAUCUAUUGAUGACCACCUGUGGCGAAGGCGGUCUACCAGAACACGUCCGACGGUGAGGGAUGAAAGCUGGAGGAGCAAACCGGAUUAGAUACCCGGGUAGUCCCAGCCGUAAACCAUGCAAACUCAGUGAUGCAUUGGCUUGUGGCCAAUGCAGUGCUGCAGGGAAGCCGUUAAGUUUGCCGCCUGGGAAGUACGUACGCAAGUAUGAAACUUAAAGGAAUUGGCGGGGGAGCACCACAAGGGGUGAAGCCUGCGGUUCAAUUGGAUUCAACGCCGGGA